CGAAGAAAUAAAAGAACUGAAAAUAGGGUCUUCCUGAAUUUUUCUCCUCAACCAGCAAAAAAAAUCUUCCAGAUAUGGAUUUAAGUAACACUUCAACACGCAAUGAGUGGAGCAGUGUUUUGUUUUUUCUCUCCAAGAGCAAAAUGCAUGUAUUUAGAUCUUCCAAAUUACAAAAGUCCAGUUUCCUUGCAUUACUUAUGGCUAGAAUUAUG